UAAUACGGGGGAUGCGAGCGUUGUCCGGAUUCACUGGGCGUAAAGGGCGCGUAGGCGGUUCACUCAGUCGGGCUUGUAAGUGCGGGGCUCACCCCCGUGAUGGGCUCGGGACGGGUGUGACUGGGGCGCGGUAGAGGGAGACGGAAUGCCGGGUGUAGUGGUGAAAUGCGUAGAGAUCCGGCGGAACACCGGUGGCGAAGGCGGUCUCCUUGGCCGAGGGCCGACGCUGAGGCGCGAGAGCGUGGGGAGCGAACCGGAUUAGAUACCCGGGUAGUCCACGCCGUAAACGGUGGAUGCUAGGUGUGGGGGGUAUCGACCCCCUCCGUGCCGGCGCGAACGCAGGAAGCAUCCCGCCUGGGGAGUACGGCCGCAAGGCUA
rnacentral:rRNA from 1 species